UACGGGGGGGGCAAGCGUUGUUCGGAAUUACUGGGCGUAAAGGGCUUGUAGGUGGCCAACUAAGUCAGACGUGAAAUCCCUCGGCUUAACCGGGGAACUGCGUCUGAUACUGGAUGGCUGGAGUGUGGGAGAGGGAUGCGGAAUUCCAGGUGUAGCGGUGAAAUGCUUAGAUAUGACAUAGAACACCUAUUGCGAAGGCAGCUUACUACGCAGAUAUUGACGCUCAUGCACGAAAGCGUGGGGAUCAAACAGG
rnacentral:rRNA from 1 species